rnacentral:rRNA from 1 species
AGCGAACGCUGGCGGCGUGCCUAACACAUGCAAGUCGAACGUGAAAGGGAGCAAUCCCAAGUAAAGUGGCGUACGGGUGAGUAACACGUAGGUAAUCUACCCCAGAAUCUGGAAUAACCGGCCGAAAGGCUGGCUAAUACUGGAUAGAGCGACGGAAUCCGUAAUUGGGUUUUUCGGGAAAGGGAGCCUGUAAAAAGGCCUUCGUUCUGGGAUGAGCCUGCGUCCCAUCAGCUAGUUGGUGAGGUAAAAGCUUACCAAGGCAAUGACGGGUAGCUGGUCUGAGAGGACGAUCAGCCACACUGGAACUGAAACACGGUCCAGACUCCUACGGGAGGCAGCAGUGGGGAAUCUUGCACAAUGGACGAAAGUCUGACGCAGCAACGCCGCGUGAGUGAAGAAGGCCUUCGGGUUGUAAAGCUCUGUCGAGUGGGACGAAAAUGCUUGGAGUUCACAGCUCCAGGAACUGACGGUACCACUAAAGGAAGCACCGGCUAACUCCGUG